AGGAUGAACGCUAGCGACAGGCUAACACAUGCAAGUCGAGGGGCAGCGAUGGGCGUGGCAACACGCCUGAUGGCGACCGGCGCACUGGUGAGUAACACGUAUGCGACCUGCCUCCUUCAGGGGGAUAACCCAGAGAAAUUUGGCCUAAUACCCCAUAGUCCGCGCGGCUGCAUGGCCGUGCGGGGAAAGCCACGGCGGAAGGAGAUGGGCAUGCGGCGCAUUAGCUGGUUGGCGGGGCAACGGCCCACCAAGGCUACGAUGCGUAGGGGUUCUGAGAGGAAGGUCCCCCACACUGGUACUGAGACACGGACCAGACUCCUACGGGAGGCAGCAGUGAGGAAUAUUGGUCAAUGGGCGGAGGCCUGAACCAGCCAAGGUUCCGCGUGGGGGACGACGGCCCUACGGGUUGUAAACCCCUUUAGCCGGGGAGUAACAAGCGCCACGCGUGGCGCCAUGAGAGUACCCGGAGAAUAAGCAUCGGCUAACUCCGUGCCAGCAGCCGC
rnacentral:rRNA from 1 species